rnacentral:rRNA from 1 species
UACGUAGGUGGCAAGCGUUUGUCCGGAAUUAUUGGGCGUAAAGCGCGCGCAGGUGGUUCCUUAAGUCUGAUGUGAAAGCCCACGGCUCAACCGUGGAGGGUCAUUGGAAACUGGGGAACUUGAGUGCAGAAGAGGAUAGUGGAAUUCCAAGUGUAGCGGUGAAAUGCGUAGAGAUUUGGAGGAACACCAGUGGCGAAGGCGACUAUCUGGUCUGUAACUGACACUGAGGCGCGAAAGCGUGGGGAGCAAACAGG